AGCGGAAUUCGUGAGACCAUCUAGUUCCCUGACCAGGGACUGAAGUCCAGCCCCCUGCACUGGGAGUGGAGAGCUUUAGCCACUGGAUCAUUGGGAAAGUCCCCUCAACAUAUGGAUUUUGUAGGACACAAUGAAGCCCAAAACAGGGUUGAUGGUAGGGUGAUGUGCCUGGCUACACAUUGUGGUGUAGCUUCACGUUGCACCCUACCUGCUC
rnacentral:sRNA from 1 species